UCUUCUAUCAAAAUGUGAUGUAGGGCAGAUUGGAACCUGUGCCAACUUAUAUCAAGAAAAAUAAGAGAGGCUUGGGAGCAGAGAAGUCAAAGAAGGCAGCAGAGCACCGUAAAAGUUCCGGGCUUUCCAUGGGCGGGAAGAUUGUAAAAGAUGGGGAGAAAGAAAAAGCGUCUGUUGUACAGAAGACAAAGGGAAUCUCUAAAAAGAUGAAGAAAGUACUAGAGUUUGAGAAGCGCAUGCAAGAGAAAGAGUUUGAGCGAGCAUUUUUUAGGGAAUUCUGGCCAGAUAAUGUUUAGUUCGUCCCCUUGUCUAAUUUUGUUUUCCGCCGUAUAUUUCAGCCAUAGUAAAUUGUUUCCUUCUGCCUCUUGGGUGAAUAUUCAUUAUCUUUGUUUUGGACAUAUUUAGAAUGAUAUCCAAUCUUGAGAUAUUUGUAAACUGAAGUGUACGUUACACAAAUGUCUAUCAAAUGUAUCAGUAUUUAAACAAGUACUUGUUCCGUCCAUAUUAACCAAAUUCCAUUGGCUUA